UAGGCGUAAAUGAUGCGAGUUAAGUGUGGGGGCAUCUACGAGAUGGCCCUGUGCUGUAGGGUAGCCGUUAAACUCGCUGCCUGGGGAGUACGGUCGCAAGGCUGAAACUUAAAGGAAUUGGCGGGGGAGCACCACAACGGGUGGAGCUUGCGGUUUAAUUGGAUUCAACGCCGGAAAUCUUACCGGGACCGACAGCAACAUGAAGGCCAGGCUGAAGACUUUGCCGGAUUAGCUGAGAGGUGGUGCAUGGCGUAGACGU
rnacentral:rRNA from 1 species